AUUGAACGCUGGCGGCAGGCCUAACACAUGCAAGUCGAGCGGUAGCACAGAGAGCUUGCUCUCGGGUGACGAGCGGCGGACGGGUGAGUAAUGUCUGGGAAACUGCCUGAUGGAGGGGGAUAACUACUGGAAACGGUAGCUAAUACCGCAUAACGUCGCAAGACCAAAGUGGGGGACCUUCGGGCCUCAUGCCAUCAGAUGUGCCCAGAUGGGAUUAGCUAGUAGGCGGGGUAAUGGCCCACCUAGGCGACGAUCCCUAGCUGGUCUGAGAGGAUGACCAGCCACACUGGAACUGAGACACGGUCCAGACUCCUACGGGAGGCAGCAGUGGGGAAUAUUGCACAAUGGGCGCAAGCCUGAUGCAGCCAUGCCGCGUGUGUGAAGAAGGCCUUCGGGUUGUAAAGCACUUUCAGCGGGGAGGAAGGCGGUACGGUUAAUAACCGUGCUGAUUGACGUUACCCGCAGAAGAAGCACCGGCUAACUCCGUGCCAGCAGCCGCGGUAAUACGGAGGGUGCAAGCGUUAAUCGGAAUUACUGGGCGUAAAGCGCACGCAGGCGGUCUGUCAAGUCGGAUGUGAAAUCCCCGGGCUCAACCUGGGAACUGCAUUCGAAACUGGCAGGCUAGAGUCUUGUAGAGGGGGGUAGAAUUCCAGGUGUAGCGGUGAAAUGCGUAGAGAUCUGGAGGAAUACCGGUGGCGAAGGCGGCCCCCUGGACAAAGACUGACGCUCAGGUGCGAAAGCGUGGGGAGCAAACAGGAUUAGAUACCCUGGUAGUCUACGCUGUAAACGAUGUCGAUUUGGAGGUUGUGCCCUUGAGGCGUGGCUUCCGGAGCUAACGCGUUAAAUCGACCGCCUGGGGAGUACGGCCGCAAGGUUAAAACUCAAAUGAAUUGACGGGGGCCCGCACAAGCGGUGGAGCAUGUGGUUUAAUUCGAUGCAACGCGAAGAACCUUACCUGGUCUUGACAUCCACAGAACUUUCCAGAGAUGGAUUGGUGCCUUCGGGAACUGUGAGACAGGUGCUGCAUGGCUGUCGUCAGCUCGUGUUGUGAAAUGUUGGGUUAAGUCCCGCAACGAGCGCAACCCUUAUCCUUUGUUGCCAGCGGUCCGGCCGGGAACUCAAAGGAGACUGCCAGUGAUAAACUGGAGGAAGGUGGGGAUGACGUCAAGUCAUCAUGGCCCUUACGACCAGGGCUACACACGUGCUACAAUGGCAUAUACAAAGAGAAGCGACCUCGCGAGAGCAAGCGGACCUCAUAAAGUAUGUCGUAGUCCGGAUUGGAGUCUGCAACUCGACUCCAUGAAGUCGGAAUCGCUAGUAAUCGUAGAUCAGAAUGCUACGGUGAAUACGUUCCCGGGCCUUGUACACACCGCCCGUCACACCAUGGGAGUGGGUUGCAAAAGAAGUAGGUAGCUUAACCUUCGGGAGGGCGCUUACCACUUUGUGAUUCAUGACUGGGGUGA
rnacentral:rRNA from 1 species